rnacentral:rRNA from 1 species
UACAGAGGUCUCAACCGUUGUUCGGAUUCAUUGGGCGUAAAGGGUGCGUAGGCGGUCGCGCAAGUCGGAUGUGAAAUCUUAGGGCUCAACCCUGAAACUGCAUUCGAUACUGCGUGGCUCGAGUACUGGAGAGGAGACUGGAAUUUACGGUGUAGCAGUGAAAUGCGUAGAUAUCGUAAGGAAGACCAGUGGCGAAGGCGAGUCUCUGGACAAUUACUGACGCUGAGGCACGAAGGCCAGGGGAGCAAACGGG